UGCUGCUCCCUCUGGCAGCACUUACACGAAAUUGGAAUGAUACAGAGAGUAGCAUGACCCUGUGCAAGGGCGACAUGCAGAUUUGUGAAACGGUCCGUAUUUUU